AGCGAACGCUGGCGGCAGGCCUAACACAUGCAAGUCGAACGAACUCUUCGGGGGUAGUGGCGGACGGGUGUGGAACACGUGGGAACAGGCCCUUAUGGUCGGACUAACUCAGGGAAACUUGUGAUAAUACCGAAUGUGCGCUACUGGGGAAAGAUAUAUCGACUUUCGUGCGGCACGCGUCGGAUUAGAUAGUUGUGUAGGUAAAGGAUCACCAAGGCGACGAUCAGUAGCUGGGCUGAGAGGAUGAUCAGCCACAUUGGGACUGAGAGACGGCCCAAACUCCUACGGGAGGCAGCAGUGGGGAAUCUUGCGCCAUGGGCGAAAGCCUGACGCAGCCAUGACGCGUGAAUGAUGAAGGUCUUAGGAUUGUAAAAUUCUUUCAACGGGGACGAUAAUGACGGUACCCGGAGAAGAAGCCCCGGCUAACUUCGUG
rnacentral:rRNA from 1 species